rnacentral:piRNA from 1 species
UACUUAUGUGGCCUAUGUUGUUAAUGUCC